rnacentral:rRNA from 1 species
UACGGAGGAUGCAAGUGUUAUCCGGAAUCACUGGGCGUAAAGCGUCUGUAGGUGGUUUAAUAAGUCAACUGUUAAAUCUUGAGGCUCAACCUCAAAAUCGCAGUCGAAACUAUUAGGCUAGAGUAUAGUAGGGGUAAGGGGAAUUUCCAGUGGAGCGGUGAAAUGCGUAGAGAUUGGAAAGAACACCGAUGGCGAAGGCACUUUACUGGGCUAUUACUAACACUCAGAGACGAAAGCUAGGGUAGCAAAUGGG